AUGUCGAGCGCCGCCACCACCGGUUCCACUGCUGCGGGGUUCCUCCCGGCCUCUCUUGCGGCUCUGCUCAACCUCCCGCUCGAUGCCGUCGCCGUUCCGGCUCCGAUCGGGACCAGGAGCAUCGGCUCCGUCUACUCCACGCCGCCGGCGCCCUCGCUUGGGCGCGACCUCGUGGUCCACACCGCGGCGCCGCCGUCCGCUGCGGACUCCGCGGGCGUCGUCCCGCCGCUCCUGCCGCAAGCGGAUCACACCGCCCCGCUGGCGGGGUUGGCGGCGUCCGCCCCGGCCGCGGGCCUUGCGGCGUCCGACCCGGCCGCGAGCUUUGCGGCGUCCGCCCUGGCUGCGGUCCCGCCUCCUCCCGCAUCGGCUUCGGUGCCUCCGGCUGCCUCCAUGGUGUUUGCACCCCAGGCAGCCCCCUCGAUGGGAUCGAAUGCAGGAUGGCCGUCGCCGGAAUUGUUUUCUGCAAAGAGAAAAGUCUCGGGGGGUUUGUUGGUCCGAGGGAUGGCGAGGGAGGUCGUCGGCGAAGAGCUGCAGUACGAGGGAAGGACCUCGUCGGCGGACGGCAUUCAUGGUCGGGCGGGUGCAUGCAGCGGCCGGCCUAAAGAGAUGCCAUAUAUAGCUACGUACGGCGGGGAAGAAGGACGUGCAAGCAUGGCGACGGCGGCGGCGACGGUUCCUUUGUUGGGUGGACUUGUUGUCUGCAAGCAAUAUAAUGAAAAAAGUGGGCUUUUUGCAGGGCUCCGGCUGACUGAGGAAGGGAAGGAGGUCGGGGAUGGCAUGCCGUCGGCCGGCGACGUUCGUAUGAUUCCCGGCAGUGCCGGCGGCGAGCGACGUUUUGGUUUACAAAUGGAUGGAUGGAUGGCACGUUGGUUUCCUGUUGUUGUCAUCAAAAUCAAAAGAAAAGAAAAAGAAACGAGUUGGCCACGCGCGCGCGGCGCGACACACGAAAGACAGCAACAAGAGGAUGUAGCGAGUGGAUUACGCGGAGAACGGGAAGGAAACGUGUGCGCCCGCCAGAGCCAAACCAUCAGCCACGUCAUCGAUCGGCUUCCUGCCGGCCUUGCAGACGGACAAGUGUCCAUGCACAGCCUCCGCUUCACACCGGCUGCCGGGUCGGUGACUGUUGCUGGGCUGAAGAGAUUAAGCAUGGCUUCGUCUUGUGAUCCUUCCACAAUGAUCAUCAUCCGCCGCCGCCGCCAGGUGGUGUCGCCGGAAGACUUGUACGCCCGCCAGAUGUUCGACCGAACGCUUCUGUGGAGAAAGAGCAAAACCCAGUGGACGUCGAGCGGCCCGGACGGCCUCAGCGCCCUCCCGGACGACGCCAUCCGCCACGUGAUCGGCUUCCUGCCGGCGCGAGACGCAGUGCAGACGAGCGCGCUCGCCCGGGGCUGGCGCAGCCAUUGGAGGUCCAUGCACAGCCUCCGCUUUACACCAGUUGCCGGGUCGGUGACCGUCGCUGGGCUGAAGAGGUUAGUAGGCCCCCUGUUGCUAGAUCUCCGUACACCUCUCGAUGAAUGUGUCAUCGAUGUCAAAGGAUUCUGGCAGCUCCACGGCGAACUCAACAGCCUGAUUCGGCAUGGCGUGUCCGAGUGCCGAGUUCGAGCUCUCACAGUCAGUCUGGUAGACACGCACAGAGCAAUAUAUGGGCAGCCUCUCGUUUCCAGGCACUUGGCGAGAUUGGAGCUUCGCCAUGUAACAGUGCCAGCAGAAUGCACGGUUCUUGAUUUUUCAAGUUGCAUGGAGCUGGAGGAUCUUGUGAUUUCUUGCUCUCAGAUCUAUGCUAACAAGCUCUCGUCCCCAUCCUUGAAGCGCCUCAAGAUUGAGGAAUGCUGCUUAUUUCCAAGGGGCUCCGUAACUUGUAUUUCUGCCCCGAAUAUUGUUUCACUGGAACUGGAUAAUAUUCGUAUUACAACUCCUUGGCUUGAGCGUAUGCCGUUACUGGAAACUGCAUGUGUCAGGCUUGGCCACAGCUGGCCUUUGCAUUGUCAAUGCGGUGUUGCCUGGCGCUCUUGUGGUGUAUGUACAGAACUCCACUUAAUGGAGCUAGCAAGCUUCUCGAGUGCUACGCAUCUGGAAUUAACAGCACCCUAUGUGAAGUUUACUGUUUUGAGAUGCCCAACAUUUAGCAAGUUAAAGAGUCUGUCGCUAAAUGAGUGGUGUGUGGCAGACGACUUAUCUGCAUUAAUUUGCAUUCUUGAGCACUCUCCACUUCUAGAGAAUCUCACUCUUCAACUAAAUGAGAGAUACCCGGCCUUCAUUUUGAUGGCAAACGUUAUACGGCAUAUGUGUAUCAGACUGACUGAUGGAGUUGAAUUUAUGCUUCUUAUGGCUUUUGUCCGAUUCUUUGUGCAUGGGAAUUACUCGUAUAAAGAAUGCUGGAGUAUCCGCCUCCCUGGGCGCUUCAAGGGUGAAGUGGCCCUCCGAGUCGUCCGUUUUGGCUGGCUUGUCGAGGGCCUCUCGUGGGCUCUCCGCACCGUCUAA
rnacentral:rRNA from 1 species